rnacentral:rRNA from 1 species
ACCGGCGCACGGGUGAGUAACACGUAUCCAACCUGCCGUCUACUCUUGGACAGCCUUCUGAAAGGAAGAUUAAUACAAGAUGGCAUCAUGAGUCCGCAUGUUCACAUGAUUAAAGGUAUUCCGGUAGACGAUGGGGAUGCGUUCCAUUAGAUAGUAGGCGGGGUAACGGCCCACCUAGUCUUCGAUGGAGUAGGGUUCUGAGGGGAAGGUCCCCCACAUUGGAACUGAGACACGGUCCAAACUCCUACGGGAGGCAGCAUG